AAGAUACGUCAUACAGAAAACUCAUGGAGAUCAGACAAUUUGCUUCCCACCUGGCAAGGAUGUAUUGAGACUUAAUGUAGACAGAAGUGAUUUUAGUUUCUCUAUUGGAUGAUGUAAACCAGCGGAGUUCAGGACUCUGCCCUAAAACUUGCUAAGAAAAGAUUCUCCAGAUUGGGCAACCAAAUGCUUAAUUAAAUCAUUUUUGAAACACUGUUCCCUAAAGAGGUCUUGAUCCACAGAGCACUUCUUAAGAGUCCUUGUGGGACCCAAGUCUCCAUCAGAAUCCUGUUUCUUGGGAGCCUGAUCUGCAGCACUAAAGAAGUGAAACUGUUCAUUAUUAGGAAGAUUAGUGGUAAGAAUUUAUAUUAUUAGUGAGGUGGGUGAAAGUGUUGCCUGUAAAUUGGUUGGCCAAGUCCCCAGAGAAUGGUCUUUGAUGUCAGACAGACCUGAGUUUGAGUCCCUGCUCUGUUACUUAUCAACUCUGAGAUUUUUGAGAAAGUCAGGGACUUUAUCUAUAAAGCUGGAAGUCAUACUUACCUUGUGAUCAUAUUCACUUUACAGUCACAUUUACCAUCCUAACGUGGGGGGACAAGUGAAAUGGCUAUUCUUACUGAAUCCCUAGUGCUUGGAGCAAAGAAGGGUCCUCCGUGAGUGCUGAGGGAGGGCAAGUGAGCAACACUGCUCAUGGGUUUCAUUCAGAGAGGUAUUGGCAGUAAUCCAGGCUUCAGAAUUUAAGGAAAGGAAUGUAAAAAGUAAAAGGAAAAUAUAUCAUGGUGGAAAGAGAAGGUUAUUGCUGCCAAGACCUAGAUGAGUAGACUCAUCGAACUUCACAUAUCUAAUUCCUGAAAGAUAUCCUAGCAAGUCAGUUAAAUUAACAUUUUAAAGCAUUUGCUAUUAAUGAGAUGCUGGGGAAGACACGAUGGUCAUUUUCUAAAGGACCCUAAUUACAACUCUGCUAGUGGCUUAAAGAAUUUAUUUUAUGAGAAAAGAGUGUAUAUAAUCAUUAAAUGUAGUCAAGGCAUUGAUUAGGUACUCAAAAAUAUUUAUUGAAUGAAGUAUAUUAUAUGAGACACUUCAAGUUGUUAAGUGUCUUAGGACUAGUAGAAUUUAUACCAUAUAAGAAUUAGAUAUUUAAAAAUGAAGAUGAUAUGUCACAGAAGUUAGCCAAACAGAAAAGGAAAAAUUAACUAAGAAAGAGUAAAACACUUAAUACAGGAACAUUCUUAAGUCUAAAUGGACUCAGUGAGAGGUGGGUGGGUACAAGAUAAGGCACUCGAGAGUUCUGAAUGGAUUUAAUCCUUCUUAUCUAUGCUCACAAAAGAAGCUGGCUACCAGAAGGCAAAAACAAAGCAGAAUCAUCUCUAAGGAAUUCUGUAUUUGUCUUUGAAUGUCUUAUAGGAUGAUUCUUUGGUUCAUAUCUACUGUCCUGGUUAAAUUGGUUCCAAUGUUUCAUUUCCUGAGUAUGCACCAGCUGAUAGUAAGGGGUGACACUCAGCAAUGUGUUGGGGAACUUUUCUUCCCUGGGAUUAAAAUUGUGGACAUGUAUAAUCCACAGACAGAGCUGGGAGGAAGUUAAUCAUUCUAGGUAUCUGAGUUUUCCACAUCCCAGGUAAAACUACCCCAAAAGUCACAAGUUCAAGUGCCCACGGGUAAGGUAGUUCAUGUAAAUGAGUAAAGCAGUCUAUGUUUAAAGGAAAAAUGAAUGAGGAUAUAUAACUGUGGUUCAUCCAUACCAUGGACCACUACUCAGCAAUAAAAAUAAACCAAGUAUUGAUUUACUCAACAACUUGGAUAACUCUCCAGGGAAUUAUGAUGAGUAAAAAAGCAUAAUCUACAAGGCUAUCCAGUGUUUGAUUCCAUUUAUAUCAACAUUCUUAAAAUGCAAAAUUAUAGCAAUGGAGAAUAGAUGAGAGUUUACUGAGGGGCAAGAAUGGGGGUGGUGAUGGGAUGGGUGUGGUGUUUGUGAGGGACCCUUGUGGGGAUUGAACUGUCAGCACCUUGACUCUACCAAUGUCAAUAUUCUGGUUGUGAUGUGGUUCUAGAGUUUUGUAAGAUGUUACCGGAGAGAGAAAGUGGGGAAAAGAACAUGGGAUUUCUCUGUAUUAUUUCUUACAAUUGCAUGUGAACCUAUAAUUAUCUUCAAAUAAAACUUCAAUUAAAAAAAA